rnacentral:rRNA from 1 species
GAUGAACGCUAGCGGCAGGCCUAACACAUGCAAGUCGAGGGGUAACAUAGAAAAGCUUGCUUUUCUGAUGACGACCGGCGCACGGGUGCGUAACGCGUAUACAACCUACCUUUUAGCGGGGAAUAGCCCAGGGAAACUUGGAUUAAUGCCUCAUAGUAUAUAAGCUUCUCCUGAAGUUUAUAUUAAACAUUUAUGGCUAUUAGAUGGGUAUGCGUCCUAUUAGUUAGUUGGUAAGGUAACGGCUUACCAAGGCAGCGAUAGGUAGGGGUCCUGAGAGGGAGAUCCCCACACUGGGACUGAGACACGGCCCAGACUCCUACGGGAGGCAGCAGUGAGGAAUAUUGGACAAUGGGCGAGAGCCUGAUCCAGCCAUGCCGCGUGCAGGAAGACUGCCCUAUGGGUUGUAAACUGCUUUUACAGAGGAAGAACCACCCCCACGUGUGGGGGUUUGACGGUACUCUGCGAAUAAGGAUCGGCUAACUCCGUG